rnacentral:rRNA from 1 species
UACGGAGGAUGCGAGCGUUAUCCGGAUUUAUUGGGUUUAAAGGGUGCGUAGGCGGACGCUUAAGUCAGCGGUAAAAUUGCGGGGCUCAACCUCGUCGAGCCGUUGAAACUGGGUGCCUUGAGUGGGCGAGAAGUACGCGGAAUGCGUGGUGUAGCGAUGAAAUGCAUAGAUAUCACGCAGAACUCCGAUUGCGAAGGCAGCGUACCGGCGCCCUACUGACGCUGAAGCACGAAGGCGUGGGUAUCGAACAGG